CAUGACACAGUUAAGAAAAAUAAUGAGGAAAGUGAAUCAUUAGCUACUAUGUCAUAAUGGUACAAAAAGAUUCCAAGUUACUGUCCAUAGGAGGCAAUGAUGCCACGUAAGCAACCUCCCUGCACUCUCCCAGGGGUUCACAGGGUGAAUUCAGUGCCAGAUAGCUGCUGACUGGGAGGGAGGAGGAGCAGGACCAGUAACGGGCACUUGAACGGUCCAUGAUGACUUUCAGAGUGCUUUUUGCUUGGAUGUACUCUGGCCAACUCGGAUGCCGCAGGGAAAGGUCCCAGCUCCUACCAAAUCCUGCAGUAGCUGAGGAAAUUGAGCACUUAAGCGACUAGUCUGUUGGCAUCAUUCCUGCUGAGCAGGUCAUCUUCUGUAGCUUGCAAAUCCCUAAAUCCCUCCUGAGACCAUGGAGGGGAGCAGACACAGCAGCAUCAAUCAAAAGACUGACAGCUGUGAUUCAUACUGAAGUGUUUCCUGCUAGAGCAGGAAAUGAGCUAAUAGAGCUAAUAGAGCUAAUGCAGGUGGCCUCUUCAGACAGAGGCUUUUUUUUUCUUUUCUUUUCUUUUUUUUUUUUUUUCCAGUUCUAUUAUGUCUUUCUUGUGGAAGGCACAGUUAUUCUUAUGUCUCCUUGUUCAUUUGGCUUGUUGGAGUAACCCUGCAGUAAAGGAUUGGAAAAACUUGUGGAUCUUCCCCUUUGGAUCUGCCUUGGGAGGUGGUUUGGACUACAGUGUGAUUUAUAUGUGCGGAGUGACAUACACCUGCUUACACACCAGCCUGGUUUGCACACCGGAGUCACGCUGGCUUAAGGUAGGGACAAGAUGCACCUUGGGGUGUCACUGAAGCAAGCACAGAGCUGCGGGAAGUUUGGGGAGAAGUGAGCUCCUGGGAGACUGGAAAAGACAUGGAGGAUGCUGAGCUUGGGUGAGAAAACAGG
rnacentral:lncRNA from 1 species